UGAAAAUGUGUCACCAAUGUUACCCAAACAAAAGCGCUGACUUGAGUUCAAUGCAGUAAGUGCUACUUGUUGGGGUAGCGUUGCUGA
rnacentral:pre_miRNA from 1 species